AGAAACUUAGGAUAAUACUAAACCGAAGCCUUCAAAGCCUUAAACAAGAGUUAAACCCUCUUAGUUUCUG
rnacentral:tRNA from 1 species